UUGUAUUGAUACUGCGAGGGGAAAUCAAUUCAACUUUUACAAGAUGUUAACUAUGUGCGUGGAACUCAUGUUUCUCGCGUCGUCACUAAGAUCAAUGUUCCCAAUCAUCAUAAGUUCUGGUGUGGAAAUAUUCCAAUCACGAUCGCUUUCUGAAGUAAUUACAAAUGUUAAGUGAUUUGUAGGCCAGGAAGGAACUGAUUGAGCUGCCUAGCACUUGCUAUCCACUUCCGCAUUAACCAAUCAGUGCACACCAGAAGCAUGAUUUUCAUGUGUGGAGGAUGCAAUGAACAGAAACAACAAGAAAUUAAGUGUCAUCAAACCAGCCAUCAUGAAGAAGAAGUACUCCAUAUGACCUUGAUUGGGAUCCUUCUCAGGGUACCAAUUGCUGCUGACAAUAGCAACUACAAAGUUUGCAAUAUAGCUUCCUAUGCCAGAGGCUGAUAGAAAAAGGGCCAUGAUCACUCCUUUAAGGUAUUCAGGAGCCUGUGAAUAUGCAAAUUCUAGACCUGCAGAUACAAAGAGACAGAAAAAAAAUAUAUCAUUGUGGAUUUCUACAAAUUCCCCUCAUGGAAAAACAUUGAAAUUUCUCAUGUAGAGAAGGCUGGGGAUGUAAUACACAGUGAAGCUGCAGAAAGUGAAUCAGAAUUUUUGAAGUACCAUAUAGGAUGCUCAGUUUAGUAGAUUGUAAGUUUCAGUUAGUUGGCUACCACCUGGUGGCUUGACCAAGUACCUAUUGCGACAGGUGAGAAAUACAAUGAUUCCAAGCAACAUAGAACCCACUACAAUGGCAUAACCAGAGAAAAUGUCUUUUUGCUGGACUGCAACCACCACAGUAAAAGCUAGGAAGGCUCCAAUGUUAAUGAACCAGUAAAAGUAGUUGAAAAAGGUCUGAAGAGCUCUUGGACCAUCCUGUUUCAACUGAUCUGCUCCAAAGGGUGACACAUUGGCUUUGAUUCCUCCUGCACUAAAUGCUAUCAACACAAGGGCCAGGAUAAAGAACACCACUCUUCCCGAUGCAUUAAAUAUGCUUUUCAACAAAUUAUCAGAAGUUGAUACUGUGGCUAGAAGCACAACUCCCACAAAAUAGAGCAAAGAGCUUCCAUAUAUGGUGUUAUACUGACCAAGGUAAGAAUCGGCUAACCACCCACCAAGUAAAGGGCUGAGAAAACAUGUUCCUAUGGGAAAAAAAAAAAAGGAAAAAAGAAAUUAAAUUUUAAUACAGUUGAACAGCUCAGCUCAUGGACAAUCCAGUUUUUCAAACCUUUACACUACCUUUACAUCAGUUUGCAAGCUGAGCCAUGCUGUUUUCUAUACAUUUCAUAUGGUACGUGCAUGGAGAAUAUGUUUCAUAAUCAAGUUUCUUCACCUUGUGAUCAUUUCCUUUAUUCUCAUUACCUUAACACUUGACUCAAGGGUGAUACUGAUGGAAGAAAUUAGAUGCUUAUCAUUCUCAAGAGUUUAAAGGUUAACACUGUGCUACAUGUCGUAACUUUUGCAAUUAUUCAUUUCUGUUGUUGGCUUGAGCCCUGGAGUAAAAGUAGUGGUGUUGUUUGAUGGUUAAAACUUUUAGUUUAGCUUACUUGUAUUUCAAAUGGCAUUUAGCAGGUGAAUGUUCUGAAUUGUGUACCUGGCACAAGCAUUGGAAUGUAGGGGCUACUCGCCUUUAACUCCCAAAAGAGAUUAACAUGUAACUUCUCCCCAUAAUAUGCAUACAUUAUCCAGUAAACAGGUGACGAGAAUACUCAUACUCAUCAGGUAAAAGUUGUUAUCUUGAUGUUACAUCAAAUUUUGUAUUUAAUUUACAAGAAACUGUUUAUCAGCUAUAGGGGACAAUGAACAAUCAGAUCUUCAGAGUUAAAGUAUCGAGACUAUUAUUUUCCUUAAAACAUCUUACAUGCAUGAUGCAACGAGAGGCAAUACAAUAGUUGAUAUUGUCUUAACGAGAGCCCAGGAACAAUAUAGGGGAACAAAAAAGUAUUUUCCAUAUAUUUUGAAACAUUUCUACAAUUUGUCUCAACAAGUGUAUACAGCUAUUUCAAGAUUUAGGUUGUCCAAAAAAGAGGUCAAAAGUGCUUGUGACCAUCUUGAAAGGUAAUGUGGGCAUCCCAUAAUCAAUAAAUUUUAAUAUGUCAAAUGAAUGUAUAAAUUAAUCAACCCUGCUAUGCCUCAUCCUAAAAGUGUCAUGUGUUCUCAGAUUUUCCUGAAAUCCUGCAAGGUCAAGCACCUGAAAACUACCUACAUUAGCAUUCAAGGUUGUUGCACGUACUUUUACAGUUUUUUUCAAUAGCCUUUCUUGAAACAGUUGUAAUCAAUACUUAAAUGUACAAUGUAGCUUCAUUCUUUUAGAAGCAUGAUCCAACAAUUAAUUAACAUGAAACUUCUCCUUAUAAUAUCCUGACAUUAUCCAGCACAGAGGUAAUGAGUUUACCCAAACUCAUCAGGUAGAAGUUGUUAUCUUGAUCCAACACCAAAUUCCUAUAACUGAUUUACAAGGAAACUUGUUGCAGCCAGAGAGGAGAAUUAACACAUAAGAAUGUUAGGACAACUCUACAAACAAACCUGUGAACAAAAGAGUGAUUGUUGAUGGCCAAGGUGACUGUAGCUUUAACACAUUCUUGGAAAAUAAAACUAGAUUUGCAGAUGCUCCAUAGAAGGUCAUGCGCUCACAUAAUUCUGUGACAAGAAUACACACUGCAUUUUGGACCCUCUGUCGUUGACUCAAGGCACUAUUGGAGUCAGAUGAAUUGGUAGCCGUACUUGUCACCCUACCAGGUGUGGAAUGUGGUUCAUCUGGUUCCUUUGGAAUUAACGGAGAAUUUUCAUUUCCAUUUGGAGCUGCUGACAUGCUGCAGGAUUUCUAAGCAAAUUAAAAACAAGCUGUGAGAAUAGAGUGGAGUCCUACUUUCAUAUGUUACCCCCCACCUUCAUUCUGGUGCCUAGGAGCCUUAAUCAUUUAAACCUUAUCUGUAAUUGUUGUCGAGUUAAGUAUUAUUUCUGUUACGUAUUAGUCUUUGUUUUUGUAUUAGUGACGCUUCGAUAUCAUAUGUCAGACCUCGUGCGUUGUCGUUUGCGGUAGAUAGUUUAACAAGAGAGCUUAUUGCGAGUGUUUCUGCGUUCAUUGCGACUCAUUCAGGCGUUACAGAGAGGACAAUCGGUAAGCGACCGUAUUAUUGUAUUGAUUUCCUUGUUUUCUUUUCCUGUUACCGAAUGUUGCAUUGUUAGCUGUGUUUGCGCUCGUGUAAUCGAUAUGUAUUCGUGUCAUAAAAUAGUUAUUUUAGUUUCAGUCCUUUAGUAUCGCUUAGACUAGGUUUUUUAAUU